CGGCCUACAGCGCGCUAAUCCAGGUCCCGGAAACUGGGCGCCAUUUUCGGUUUCAAGGAAUAUGCGCGCUUGUAGCGGUUGCCGGGCAUCCUAAGAUCUGAUUGAACGAAGUGAGGUUGCUGUGGAUGUUC
rnacentral:lncRNA from 1 species